rnacentral:lncRNA from 1 species
GAACACCAGGUGCUGGUAGAGUGUCAGCCCCAGGCAAGGCAGAAGCUGCUUUACGGAAGGCGAGAAGUCCGGGUGGAUCUUGUAGCGUCGCAAGAUGGGCACCCAGGGAUACAGGACGUCCAGCACCACGAACGCUGACGUAUUGUUGACACAGGAGAGAGCGAUUCUGCCUUGGGACAAUUCACUGGCCAUCACCGCUACAAACUAAUGAGUUCUUCGCCCUCAGAAAGCACUGAUUCCCAAUCAAAGCAGAAUUCCCUGAGUUUUAAAAUAUCUGUAUUUGACUGUUUAAAGACUUAUUCUACAUCUUGGGGAUCUCUGAGUGUACUGUUACUGGGUCCGUUGCAAACAGGGAUUGAGUCCCUUAGGAGAGGGAACCUGGCUCCAAAAAGGAGCAGUCAGUCUCGCAGCCUUUUGGCACGAACGACUCUCCCGCUCUUGUACCCUUAAAGCCGGCGGUGUCAAGAGCAGAGAUCAGAUCCUGCAAGACAGCGGUCCAGAGGGCAGCACUGCCAGUCUUUGCUCUGGAUUGGAGAAAGGAGGCUUAACAUCCGCAAAGGCUCACUCGAUUGGGCCAAACCGCAAAGGCCGGUGGAGAAGAUGAUCUGAGCAAUCUCAUAGCCACCGGGAAGAUCUCUCAUCUCCCCUGCCAUUUCCUUAGAGAUCCCUCAGGCUCCGACUUUUACCGGCCCUCAGUUGUUCCCUGCUCCUCAACUCCUGGACACCCUUUCAGACACUGGGACUGAUCGUCCAGGGACUGAGCACAGGAGGACAUCAAACCUGUGACACAAAACCUGGAGCCAGGCCUGCAGGAUGCCCUGUUCCCGUGCCCCUGCUCCUCAAGACAUGCUGAAGAACAGCUGCCCUCCUCCAGGCCCUACCCAUGAAGUUCAUGGGACAGACAUCAUGCCCAACAUAAAGAUGCAACCAUCUCAAGGAGUUAAGUGGUUGUAGGCAUCACAGCCUGAUGCCACGGAAGCAGGCAUAAUACUCCAGGUGAUUAAACAAAGUUUAAUGAGCCAAAACAAAGUCGAGCCAUAUAUAGCGUUUGCUAAAGCGAAGAGUUUCCUUGAAUUUGCCAAGCCUAAGGGAGUUUCUGCAGACUCAAAAACGUAAUAGUUUCCAAGUGAGUAGAGACUUAAGAGCAACGAUCUUAGGAUUUAUUUCCACAAAGCUAAGAAAAUGUCUGUCCUCUCUCAGUUGUUCACUUUCUUCUCUCUCACUGGCUCUCUCUCCUACAAGGCUCGCCCCUGCCCCAUCUCCUUGUGAAUUAGAGGAGCCCAGUGAAACCUAAUGCAUACCAAGCACUCACUUUGUCACUGACCUCCAACGGCCUUCCAUCCUAAAGAAUGCUCAAAAGAUGCUGCACAUUCAUUUUAGAAGAUACAGGCUCAAACUUGAAGAUAAAAAUAGGUUUCUGCAUUUCGAUAUUUAUUAAUUUUUAUGUAUUUAUUGAGAACACUAGAAGAUGCAAUUUGGGUCUGACAUUCAAGGACAGUUGCCCACGUGAGUGGCUAUUUUAUAAUUAUAUAUGGUAUCAGAACACUGUCUUGUACUUUUCCAUUUGAUUAAGACUUCUUCCUAAUCAUGUCAUCUUGGCCUGAACCCUCUGACAGCCUUUAAAGACAAGAAUCCCUUCUCCAGUUAUUCCCAAAGUCCAAACAUAAUUAACUCAGUCUCAAAGUUAUUUGGUACCAACUUAUCAAAAGUCUUUGGGAAGCCUCACCAAUAGAGCAUGUAGCUAGCCAGCAAAGCUAAUGAUAUAUUCUCUUUAUAAUGGGUUUGGCGAUUUUAAUUAAUUAAUUAGUUAAUUAACUAUUUUGCUUUCCCAAGUGAGACUAUUUAGACAGAUGCUUGAGUGAAACAACUCUCUUCUGAUAUAUCAGAGAUUAGCAGCAAGGCCCAAAGAGGUAGAAUGACCUCAAAGAUCACAAUAUGACAUCUCAUUUCAAAGAUGAAGAAUUAAAUAGUCAGUCUCAGAUAUGCCAAGAAUAGCCCUGAUUAGAGAUAAAGUGUCAAUUACAGCUGAUGGAGAGUUACGUUCAGUGUCAGUUCUUAACCAGCCAGGAUUGCUCUCAAAAAGAGCUUUGAAGUUCUUCUUCUUCUUCUUCUUCUUCUAAUAGUAAUUUUCAAAAGACUGAGGGACCAUCAAUUAACCUUGAAAGUAAUACUAGAAGAUGCUAAUGAAGAAUCCAAAGGACAUCAGCUCUUCCUGCAAAGCCUCUGCGUUACCUUGAUGCUCCUAGUAACCCAGAUACUGAUGCACAUGGCUUCGACCUAUCAUAUAAUGCAUAAGUCAGUCCUGUUCAUACUGAUGGAAAUAUUACUGGCCUCUCUGAAGCAAGCAUAUACAGUUGCUCCUAAUCAAAAAGUCAUACUAUGCCUGUAAAGAAAGAAAAAUGUCACCAGUCCCCUAAUUUCCCCCCCAUCAACAUGAUCAAAGGUUUGGGAGAACACAUAGUUUAAAACAUGCCAAGUACAUUUUUUAUAACGUAAUUGAUACAAAAAGUUCCAUUUGACUAGUUUGGAAUUAGACUUGAAAUCUGCACCUAAAACAAUACAGCAAAUAUGGCUGGAUGAUAACUGAAAGCCUUCAUCGGGAUAAUUACUUCCUUAGGUCGCCUUUCACAAGAAAUCCAAGUGGCUUCUGGCCUUGAAAUCUCUCUCUAUAUUAGAGAUAAAUGAUAAGGGUUGGAGGGAUGGCUCGACAUUGGAGAGCACUGGCUGCUCCUGAAGAGGGCUCCUACUCAGACUCGGUUCAGACUCCAUACUCACAUGACUACUUACAACUGUCUGCCACUCCAGUUACAGGGUAUCCAAUGUCCUCUUGUGGACUCCUGAGGCACAAAACUCAUGUGGUGCACUCACAUACAUGCAAGCCAAACACUCAGACACAAAAUAAAAACAAACCAUUCUUUAAAAUGGCAAAGCAUCAAGUUACUAUUUGAAAUGGCUUUAUUUAUUAAAUCAACAUCUUUCAUGUCCACAAACACAGACAAUCCUUGUCGUUUUGACAAUGAAAUCAAUAAACUUUGCCACUUCU